rnacentral:lncRNA from 1 species
ACCCACUCAACUUCCUGUUUACACACACACACACGCACGCUCUCUCUACACACACAAACACGCACACUCUACACACACACACACACUCUCUACACACACACCAACACACACACUCUACACACACACAAACACGCACACUCUACACACACACACACACAAACACACUCUACACACACACAAACACGCACACUCUACACACACACACAAACACGCACACUCUCUACACACACACACAAACACGCACACUCUACACACACACACACACACAAACACACUCUACACACACACAAACACGCACACUCUACACACACACACAAACACGCACACUCUCUACACACACACACAAACACGCACACUCUCUACACACACACACACACACAAACACGCACACUCUACACACACACACAAACACGCACACUCUCUACACACACACACAAACACGCACACUCUACACACACACACUCUCUACACACACACAAACACGCACUCUCUACACACACACACACAAACACACACACCACACACACAAACACGCACACUCUACACACACACACAAACACGCACACUCUCUACACACACACACAAACACGCACACUCUACACACACACACUCUCUACACACACAAACACGCACACUCUACACACAAACACGCACACUCUCUACACACACACACAAACACGCACACUCUCUACACACACACAAACACACACACUACACACACACAAACACGCACACUCUACACACACACACACACACACUCUCUACACACACACAAACACGCACACUCUACACACACACACACACACUCGACACACACAAAACACACACACUCUACACACAAACACGCACACUCGACACACACACACACACUCUUUACAACAACAACAACAUUUAUUUCCCAUUUAUAGCCCAAAAUCACAUACAGUAUGUCUCAAUGGGACUCUACACACACACACACACACACACACACACCCUCUACACACACAACUCAUGCAAAUAUACACACACACUGUUUCUCAGAAUCUGCACAGAGUUAUAAAUAAAAAACUCCGGCUGUAAUUUGUUGUUUCCUCUCUGGAAGCAGCUCUCAG